ACUGGGCGUAAAGGGCACGCAGGCGGUGACUUAAGUGAGGUGUGAAAGCCCCGGGCUUAACCUGGGAAUUGCAUUUCAUACUGGGUCGCUAGAGUACUUUAGGGAGGGGUAGAAUUCCACGUGUAGCGGUGAAAUGCGUAGAGAUGUGGAGGAAUACCGAAGGCGAAGGCAGCCCCUUGGGAAUGUACUGACGCUCAUGUGCGAAAGCGUGGGGAGCAAACAGGAUUAGAUACCCUGGUAGUCCACGCUGUAAACGAUGUCGAUUUGGGGGUUGAGCUUUGAGCUUGGCGCCCGUAGCUAACGUGAUAAAUCGACCGCCUGGGGAGUACGGCCGCAAGGUUAAAACUCAAAUGAAUUGACGGGGGCCCGCACAAGCGGUGGAGCAUGUGGUUUAAUUCGAUGCAACGCGAAGAACCUUACCUACUCUUGACAUCCAGAGAACUUUCCAGAGAUGGAUUGGUGCCUUCGGGAGCUCUGAGACAGGUGCUGCAUGGCUGUCGUCAGCUCGUGUCGUGAG
rnacentral:rRNA from 1 species